UUAAGGGCGCACGGUGGAUGCCUUGGCACUAGAAGCCGAUGAAGGACGUUACUAACGACGAUAUGCUUUGGGGAGCUGUAAGUAAGCUUUGAUCCAGAGAUUUCCGAAUGGGGAAACCCAGCAUGAGUUAUGUCAUGUUAUCGAUAUGUGAAUACAUAGCAUAUCAGAAGGCACACCCGGAGAACUGAAACAUCUUAGUACCCGGAGGAAGAGAAAGAAAAUUCGAUUCCCUUAGUAGCGGCGAGCGAAACGGGAAGAGCCCAAACCAACAAGCUUGCUUGUUGGGGUUGUAGGACACUCUAUACGGAGUUACAAAGGACGACAUUAGACGAAUCAUCUGGAAAGAUGAAUCAAAGAAGGUAAUAAUCCUGUAGUCGAAAAUGUUGUCUCUCUUGAGUGGAUCCUGAGUACGACGGAGCACGUGAAAUUCCGUCGGAAUCUGGGAGGACCAUCUCCUAAGGCUAAAUACUCUCUAGUGACCGAUAGUGAACCAGUACCGUGAGGGAAAGGUGAAAAGCACCCCGGAAGGGGAGUGAAACAGAACCUGAAACCGUGUGCUUACAAGUAGUCAGAGCCCGUUAAUGGGUGAUGGCGUGCCUUUUGUAGAAUGAACCGGCGAGUUACGAUUUGAUGCAAGGUUAAGCAGUAAAUGUGGAGCCGUAGCGAAAGCGAGUCUGAAUAGGGCGUUUAGUAUUUGGUCGUAGACCCGAAACCAGGUGAUCUACCCUUGGUCAGGUUGAAGUUCAGGUAACACUGAAUGGAGGACCGAACCGACUUACGUUGAAAAGUGAGCGGAUGAACUGAGGGUAGCGGAGAAAUUCCAAUCGAACCUGGAGAUAGCUGGUUCUCUCCGAAAUAGCUUUAGGGCUAGCCUCAAGUGAUGAUUAUUGGAGGUAGAGCACUGUUUGGACGAGGGGCCCCUCUCGGGUUACCGAAUUCAGACAAACUCCGAAUGCCAAUUAAUUUAACUUGGGAGUCAGAACAUGGGUGAUAAGGUCCGUGUUCGAAAGGGAAACAGCCCAGACCACCAGCUAAGGUCCCAAAAUAUAUGUUAAGUGGAAAAGGAUGUGGCGUUGCCCAGACAACUAGGAUGUUGGCUUAGAAGCAGCCAUCAUUUAAAGAGUGCGUAAUAGCUCACUAGUCGAGUGACACUGCGCCGAAAAUGUACCGGGGCUAAACAUAUUACCGAAGCUGUGGAUUGUCCUUUGGACAAUGGUAGGAGAGCGUUCUAAGGGCGUUGAAGCAUGAUCGUAAGGACAUGUGGAGCGCUUAGAAGUGAGAAUGCCGGUGUGAGUAGCGAAAGACGGGUGAGAAUCCCGUCCACCGAUUGACUAAGGUUUCCAGAGGAAGGCUCGUCCGCUCUGGGUUAGUCGGGUCCUAAGCUGAGGCCGACAGGCGUAGGCGAUGGAUAACAGGUUGAUAUUCCUGUACCACCUAUAAUCGUUUUAAUCGAUGGGGGGACGCAGUAGGAUAGGCGAAGCGUGCGAUUGGAUUGCACGUCUAAGCAGUAAGGCUGAGUAUUAGGCAAAUCCGGUACUCAUUAAGGCUGAGCUGUGAUGGGGAGAAGACAUUGUGUCUUCGAGUCGUUGAUUUCACACUGCCGAGAAAAGCCUCUAGAUAGAAAAUAGGUGCCCGUACCGCAAACCGACACAGGUAGUCAAGAUGAGAAUUCUAAGGUGAGCGAGCGAACUCUCGUUAAGGAACUCGGCAAAAUGACCCCGUAACUUCGGGAGAAGGGGUGCUCUUUAGGGUUAACGCCCAGAAGAGCCGCAGUGAAUAGGCCCAAGCGACUGUUUAUCAAAAACACAGGUCUCUGCUAAACCGUAAGGUGAUGUAUAGGGGCUGACGCCUGCCCGGUGCUGGAAGGUUAAGAGGAGUGGUUAGCUUCUGCGAAGCUACGAAUCGAAGCCCCAGUAAACGGCGGCCGUAACUAUAACGGUCCUAAGGUAGCGAAAUUCCUUGUCGGGUAAGUUCCGACCCGCACGAAAGGCGUAACGAUUUGGGCACUGUCUCAACGAGAGACUCGGUGAAAUCAUAGUACCUGUGAAGAUGCAGGUUACCCGCGACAGGACGGAAAGACCCCGUGGAGCUUUACUGUAGCCUGAUAUUGAAAUUCGGCACAGCUUGUACAGGAUAGGUAGGAGCCUUUGAAACGUGAGCGCUAGCUUACGUGGAGGCGCUGGUGGGAUACUACCCUAGCUGUGUUGGCUUUCUAACCCGCACCACUUAUCGUGGUGGGAGACAGUGUCAGGCGGGCAGUUUGACUGGGGCGGUCGCCUCCUAAAAGGUAACGGAGGCGCUCAAAGGUUCCCUCAGAAUGGUUGGAAAUCAUUCAUAGAGUGUAAAGGCAUAAGGGAGCUUGACUGCGAGACCUACAAGUCGAGCAGGGUCGAAAGACGGACUUAGUGAUCCGGUGGUUCCGCAUGGAAGGGCCAUCGCUCAACGGAUAAAAGCUACCCCGGGGAUAACAGGCUUAUCUCCCCCAAGAGUUCACAUCGACGGGGAGGUUUGGCACCUCGAUGUCGGCUCAUCGCAUCCUGGGGCUGUAGUCGGUCCCAAGGGUUGGGCUGUUCGCCCAUUAAAGCGGUACGCGAGCUGGGUUCAGAACGUCGUGAGACAGUUCGGUCCCUAUCCGUCGUGGGCGUAGGAAAUUUGAGAGGAGCUGUCCUUAGUACGAGAGGACCGGGAUGGACAUACCUCUGGUGUACCAGUUGUCGUGCCAACGGCAUAGCUGGGUAGCUAUGUGUGGACGGGAUAAGUGCUGAAAGCAUCUAAGCAUGAAGCCCCCCUCAAGAUGAGAUUUCCCAACUUCGGUUAUAAGAUCCCUCAAAGAUGAUGAGGUUAAUAGGUUCGAGGUGGAAGCAUGGUGACAUGUGGAGCUGACGAAUACUAAUCGAUCGAAGACUUAAUCAA
rnacentral:rRNA from 1 species